CAGUCGAGCGAACGGAUAAGGAGCUUGCUCCUUUGAAGUUAGCGGCGGACGGGUGAGUAACACGUGGGUAACCUACCUAUAAGACUGGGAUAACUUCGGGAAACCGGAGCUAAUACCGGAUAACAUUUAGAACCGCAUGGUUCUAAAGUGAAAGAUGGUUUUGCUAUCACUUAUAGAUGGACCCGCGCCGUAUUAGCUAGUUGGUAAGGUAACGGCUUACCAAGGCGACGAUACGUAGCCGACCUGAGAGGGUGAUCGGCCACACUGGAACUGAGACACGGUCCAGACUCCUACGGGAGGCAGCAGUAGGGAAUCUUCCGCAAUGGGCGAAAGCCUGACGGAGCAACGCCGCGUGAGUGAUGAAGGGUUUCGGCUCGUAAAACUCUGUUAUUAGGGAAGAACAAAUGUGUAAGUAACUGUGCACAUCUUGACGGUACCUAAUCAGAAAGCCACGGCUAACUACGUGCCAGCAGCCGCGGUAAUACGUAGGUGGCAAGCGUUAUCCGGAAUUAUUGGGCGUAAAGCGCGCGUAGGCGGUUUCUUAAGUCUGAUGUGAAAGCCCACGGCUCAACCGUGGAGGGUCAUUGGAAACUGGGAAACUUGAGUGCAGAAGAGGAAAGUGGAAUUCCAUGUGUAGCGGUGAAAUGCGCAGAGAUAUGGAGGAACACCAGUGGCGAAGGCGACUUUCUGGUCUGUAACUGACGCUGAUGUGCGAAAGCGUGGGGAUCAAACAGGAUUAGAUACCCUGGUAGUCCACGCCGUAACGAUGA
rnacentral:rRNA from 1 species